rfam:Triticum aestivum genome assembly, contig: Triticum_aestivum_CS42_TGACv1_scaffold_147086_2BS
UUACUAUUACCUCCGUCCCAAAAUUCUUGUCUUAGAUUUAUCUACAUACGGAAGUAUUUGACAGUAAACUAUGAAUUGAUACAUCCAUAUGUAGACAAAUCUAUGACAACAAUUUUGGGACAGAGGGAGUAUAUG